rnacentral:rRNA from 1 species
AGGCUUAACACAUGCAAGUCGAGCGCCCCGCAAGGGGAGCGGCAGACGGGUGAGUAACGCGUGGGAACGUACCCUUUACUACGGAAUAACGCAGGGAAACUUGUGCUAAUACCGUAUGUGCCCUUCGGGGGAAAGAUUUAUCGGUAAGGGAUCGGCCCGCGUUGGAUUAGCUAGUUGGUGGGGUAAAGGCCUACCAAGGCGACGAUCCAUAGCUGGUCUGAGAGGAUGAUCAGCCACAUUGGGACUGAGACACGGCCCAAACUCCUACGGGAGGCAGCAGUGGGGAAUAUUGGACAAUGGGCGCAAGCCUGAUCCAGCCAUGCCGCGUGAGUGAUGAAGGCCCUAGGGUUGUAAAGCUCUUUCACCGGAGAAGAUAAUGACGGUAUCCGGAGAAGAAGCCCCGGCUAACUUCGUGCCAGCAGCCGCGGUAAUACGAAGGGGGCUAGCGUUGUUCGGAAUUACUGGGCGUAAAGCGCACGUAGGCGGACAUUUAAGUC